UAAUACGGAGGGUGCAAGCGUUGUUCGGAAUUAUUGGGCGUAAAGCGCGUGUAGGCGGCUAUGAAAGUCUGGUGUGAAAGCCCGGGGCUUAACCCCGGAAGUGCACUGGAUACUACAUAGCUAGAGGGUCAGAGAGGAAAGCGGAAUUCUUGGUGUAGGGGUGAAAUCCGUAGAUAUCAAGAGGAACACCGAUGGCGAAGGCAGCUUUCUGGCUGACAUCUGACGCUGAGACGCGAAAGCGUGGGUAGCAAACAGG
rnacentral:rRNA from 1 species